rnacentral:lncRNA from 1 species
AUCAUCAUGUGGAGUUACAAAUGGAAGCGCAGUGCAAGAACACUAUAGUGCAGCUAGUGCAGCAGCUGCCGAAUGUAAACAAGUCGUAGAUGUUUGCCACGCUUGGCGGACGGUAAGAGGUGGCCCUCAAGCCAGGCCUCCUGGUGAUUAGCAAACCCUUGGUGUGGUGUGAGCCAGCCCAGACAUUGGCUGCUUCGUUGCACCGGGUUUUAUCUUUAUCAUAUUCGUCACUGUGUUGGCACAUUACAAUGCAAUGGGAGCAUACUCGUAUCCUUUUGGUGGUUUAGUGACUGAAGCACUGCAUUGCUGUGCAUAUGUACUAGGGUUCUAUUCCUCUCAGACUGGCUGUAUUCAGUGGAGGUAAUUUGUCAGCUUUGUUCUUGCUUUAUUAACACAAUUUUAUAUCACACCUUCCACUUGCCGAAUCGUUUUUACUGCGAGGAUUACAAAUGCAUUAUUUGCAGGGACGACAAACCUUGAAUAAUCUUGAGGCUUUCUGGCCAUAUAAGUGCUUGGCAUUUAAAGGGUUAGAUAUGAAAUACGUAACAGAAAGGGACAAAAAAUUUAAAGGGACGCUGAAGGCAAAUAACAAAUUAAGCUACUCGGAUGGAUUAGUACUUGAAAACUUCUAAAAUCUCAUUAUUAUUGACAACUGUGCUUUAAUUAUGAUGUUGAAGUAAAUGUAGUACACUAAAUGCAGCACCUCCAUUGUGUAAUUCUGUCACUAUCACUUAGCCAUUUAUAAUAAGAAUAAUUGCAGAUCAUUGUUUAUAAUAGCAGGUCACUGUAACAUGGAAUGAAAUUGUAGCUGUGCACUUCUAUUGAAGUCUUGGAUGUCUUUUUGACAUAAGGCUACAUGGUGCACAAAGUGUCGUCCCAGUGACGAUCUUGUUUGAGUAAUGUAUAGCAAUCUCAAAGGCAAUGUUGCUGUGGGCUAACAGUGCCAGAUUCAGUGGCAGGAGCCGAAAAACAUGUUAUGGCCGCCAUGCUUAAGACAUCAUCUCUCGACAAGGGUGCAGGUGGUUGAAAAGUUUCAUCACCCAUGUCCUCCUGUUAUCGCUCGUUUCAUGAACGUUUAGUGCAUUACUAGCCUUGAUCACUUGCAAACCUCGUUCUAACUGCAAGAGAAAACGUUGUACCCAUGUGAUGUUGAUGGCUCAAUUUCUGGCCAUACUUUCAUGUUUUUGUGCACUUCACUUAAGAAACUGCAGCGCCACCUGUCAAGCAGUAAAGAGCAGUGAAGCACGGCCUCUGAGGCGUUUGCGAUGUCAUUGUGCCCUCUGAGUGGGCAGGUGCUUUGGAUUUUGUUAGGGGUAUGUGCUGGGAAAGUGAUUUUCUCUUAAAUUAAGCAUUCUCUUGUGCUGCAAGGCAAGUGCUGCAAGGUUUCCAGAAUGGUAUUCUUAUAAUGCGCAUCAGAUUAAUACUUGCCUUUAGCGUACCUUCAUGCAGUCAUGGAGGAUAUCUAGAUUUGUUUUGACAACCUUGGUUAUUCUCAGUGUUGUUUACAUAAUGACAUAUUUGACGGAUUCUUAUCCUCCAGUGCCUCAAGUUGGACCAACGGAAAGCCCGCUUGAUAUCAGCCAAGGCGCCCAUGCCUGAGCUUAACUGCUAGCCAUUGCGAGAGUAGUCAGAGACCAGAAGUAAGAUAUCAUUCGUGAACACUGUUGAUCCAGUUUUAGAGCAAUAAAAAAGCUAGCGCAUUGUGUUGUCACCGUCACCCUUCGGUCUUCAUCCUCUGGCGCUAAAUAUGUUUUCCAACUCAAGUUGCCAACAUUUUAAACUACUCCGAAAGGCUGCAUCAGAUGCCGUGCCAAGAGCCGUGCUUGGUAAUAAAUGUAGUCUGUGUAAACGCCACCUCUCUUUGCAAUAUCAGUGGAAAUAGUUGAUUCAGUGACUUAGCAAAUCUAGCAGGUGUACAUGUGCUAUUUGUAUAUCUGAACUUUUUCACUCCUCUAUUAAGUGUUUUUUUGUUAAAUGUAAGGUUUUUAAUUGUUUUAUUUUGUUACAUAAAUGUCAUAUGUGUUCAAACGUUUUUAGUCAAUAAUUCUCUAGUCAUUUGUCUUGUUGCCAACUGCGGCUGUGGUCUACUAACGAGCUGUCAUUUAUAAAGCUACAACUUUCUUUGUACUUCGUUUUAGAUUAUGAGAUUAACUCACUGGGCCAGUUUGGGAUUCAGGUUAAAUCUGAAAACUGCAAAAACACUGUUGCUUCAUUCUGUCGUCUUUAUUUUCUCUCGUUUGCAUGCAGUGUGCACUGUAAGACACGGCCUAGCCUUAACCUCUAACUGCAGGUAUAACAGAGAUUGUGUGCUAUGCUGUUAUGCAAUUGAUCGCUUGCCUUCUUUUUCAGGAGCUGCAUUGCAUAAGCUGUCGGUCACAAGUUUUGAUAUCGAUGUUGAAAUUAACAGUAAAUUUUGUUUCACUGCUGAGCAUAAGGUCACAGAUCGGAUUCACAGUCGUGGUGGCUACUUUACGAUCUACCUACUUUACUAGCUCAACUUGACAUUUCUUCAGCUCAAAGCUGACAAUCAAUCAAUCAAUCAAUCAAUCAAUCAAUCAAUCAAUCAAUCAAUCAAUCAAUCAAUCAAUCAAUCAAUGCUUUAUUGUACAAUGUUAAAAGAAAGUGCUUACAAAACUAUUUGGACCAAUAACCUGUUUGGCUGGUGUCUUUGCCAAUACAAAAAAAAAAGUAUUUUAGGACCGCCGCAGAUCUCUUAAAAGAUAUACAGUUCAACAAAAGCAACGUCAUCACCUUUUUUCCGGCAGUGGAUAUAAAGUAAGCUGAUCAAGAAAAGCAACUAAAAUAAAGAGUGGUACAUUUGUAAGCAAGAGCAUAAUAAAUUGAUCAAGAUGCCUGAUUACAAAGAUAAAAGUGUUGACAUACAAGAUGAAACUUUCUCGCAACUUUUAUUUCACUAGCCACAUCAUUUCAGGUUAGAGCAUUGAAAAACUCAAGUGAUGCUUUAUUGAGGUCCCUGUUGGCAGUGAUGAUAAAAUUUUUUAUCGCGGUGGCCCUAUGUACCAAUAGAUUGCCAAGGAGAAUGAAUGCCCGCUCUGCUCGUAAUGCCUGUGGAAUCUAUAUAUUAUGCUUUCCCUUACUCCUGCAUCUGCUGGGGCACCUGUUCAUUGUAACUUCUUCACUUGUUUGCAGCUGAAAGAGAAGACUUUGAUUCUGAGUGGACCACUUGGCAUUACUGGUGUUGGAAAAGCAAGCACACAAAUGCUUUGUUAUGUAGUAGCUGUUGAGUGACCGUCGCAAACUGCUGCUACCAUAUUGUUACGGGGAUCAUACCCGUGACAAUAUCAUCUAAACUUGAAUCCCAUGAAACUUUCUCCUUUAUUUUCACAAAAUGUUGUACUGAGACUUUUUUUUUGUUGUUUUUGCUGUUAUGACUGUUAAUGCGUAUUCCCGGUCACUGUUUCUUCACAAAGAAUCAAAUGCCAUUCCAUUAGAAUCUGCUGCCUCAAUUUGACAGUUUUUUUCCUUCGUUCUUUUAAAAUAUGACAGUGAAGUGCAAUCUUUCUUUAUUUACAUGUAAAAAGUUAUUUGCUCCCUAACUUUCUGUGCUUUGUUCUGAAUGCUAGAGAUUCAUAUACAUAUCAUAUCUGAAAAAUUAUUGCCGUCUCUUUUUUAUUAAAACACUGUCACCUAUAAAGUGUGUUUUUUUCUCUCUCUCUCUCUUAAUGCGUUUACUCUGUAUUGCUCUUGUGCCUCUGCAGUGUUUGUACAACUGACGAUCAUUGCGUAGGUUAAUGGUUGUUUCACGAAUGUCUGCAUUGCAGCAUGCGCUCUCACUGCAUUUUUUAUUUUGUUUCUCUUAAGUGUAACAGCUGUUUUAUGGGCCAUAACAUUACACCACAGAAAUGCCGUGUUUGGGAGUCCCAGUCUUAGAUCUUUCAAGCAGUGUACGGCAUUGAAUGCACGUAAGAUGUUUUUGGCUUGUAAAACAACGUAGCGAUAUCUCGGAUGACGCCACCAUAAGGUGUGCUGUGCUGUAUACUUUGUCGCAUCAUCUCCAUUGUCAUUGGCCUCAUAACUUACUUCUUAGCGUUGCUUCUAUUAUUUGCUUGUACGAUCUCUGUUGACAUUGUUUUUGUGGAUAAGACUUGCACUUAUGCUCGAGCAAAGUAGAUCGUAACUAAGAUUCUUUCCAACAAAAUCUUUCCUUGUUAUAUAUCCUCUUCAGUUGAAAAAAUCACUGAUGAGAAGUAAUGAUUGCAAUAAUGUGGAUGUCAUGCAGAGCAGUUACUUUUUACAGUAUGCACAAUCUACAUUGAUUGGAUCCACCUAAUAAUCCUGUUACAUUGGUUUACCUUUUGCCAAUUUUAUGGGACGGUGUUUGCGCUUAGUAUCAAAAACAGCAGUCACAGCUGAAAAAGUUGAAAACUAAUUCAUAUAUGUUUGAUUGCGUACAUGUUCUUUAUAAAAAAAGUUACAUCAAGUAAGCAAAACAAAAAAGAGGGAAACGAGCAGUGUAUCACGCAAACUAUGCUUCAGCAAUUAUAUGUGAUUAUUUUCAUGGAAAACAGGCACAUGUUUACAUGGCAAGGGAAAGCAUUUAUGUCCCUUCAUAUUGCUCUGAGUGGUCAGCCACCUCACUGAUGAAGAUUGUGUUCACAGUUAGCUUGAGUCAUAUUUGUACUUAGUAUGGAUGAUCGUCACUUUGACAAUUUAUGUAGACAUAACAUGAGCACAGUGUAAGUAAAAAUACUCUGAAUGAAAUUAGUUUGGCACUUACUAUGGCGCAUUCAUUAUUUUUUUUGGCAAGACAUUGCUGGUUUAUGCGUAGUUCAAUUUUUGGUGCUGCGGCACUACAUGAAAUAUUGAUGAUACAUAAAAUGCUAUUUGGUUAAGUGGCAUGAACUUUAGAAAUGAGCCCUUAAAUUCCCCUUCUUUCAUUCAUUCAUAGCAAGGGCCUCGUUCUGGCAUAAUUGAUGCUCUUAAGUAGCAUGCAUGGCCUAAUUGGUCAGCUGCCAGCUCGUAAAGAGGCCACAAGCUAUGUGACGCCAGCUGACAAAAAAGUGUGUUCCACGUUUGCCUUCAUGGCUACGAGUAGUGCUGACUAACACUCCCACAUUUCCGUGCACAGAAAUACCAGAUAAAGUGGACAGGAGGACGACUGCUACUGUAGCUCAAUCGGUAGAGAUGCGUUAUCUGAAGGUUGCAAAUUCGGUCUGUGCUGGUGGCAAGUUGUCUUUUUGUCCACUUUAUAAUUUCUUCACAUGUUACAUAAUAAUUACUGCAAUACAGCUGAAAGACUACAAAUAACAUCACGUAUACCUUUGUUAGCUUCAUUAUCUGUUGGUUUUCAUUAAGGUUGUGUCUAACAAAAAAAAAAAAAACAAGCCGCUUAGUUCCCCUUCUAUCGUUCAUGAAUUUUCAUGAGUCAGGCAUAAAAGUUUGUGACGUGCCACCUUAUAUCUGCUUUCCAUGCCAUCAGGUUCAAUACACUCAGUGGCAACAGCCACAUGCAGUGAAUACUUUGCUUGUUGACAAUUUUGUCUAUCAAUCAUUUCCAAGAAUUAGCAAUGAGCAGAACUUCUUGAUCAGUGCACUCUGACUUGUUAUACGGACACUUGCACAACCCCUUUUUUAAAAUCAUCUUGGCAUAAUGAGCUAGGAUAGCCUAGUUUGCUACACUUAUUUGCGGCAAUACUGCGAACAGAUACAGUAAACCAGCAGUAUUCUUGAAGUAAAUAACAAAUGAGUAAAUGAAAUUAACUUGCAAACCCUUUGUUUGUUCAUCUGUUCGUAGCAUCCGAGGCGAAUGGCUGCAGCUUGGACCAGCCCCAGAUGUUUCUCAGUGCGAUCGCGAGGACAGGCUUUAGUGAUCACGUGCCUGGAGUAGUGCAGAGCAUGUUACUAGAGUUUGACUCCUCGGAGACGAGAGUGGACCACCAACCAAUCAGGAGGCGCCUGGAGGCCCCAGCGGGAGACAGGAUGUACAGGUGCCGCGUCUGCUCACUCGAAUUCCCGCAAAAGGGUCACCUGAAGAUCCACCGGCUGACGCACAUUGGCGAGAAGCCCUUUAAGUGCACCUCCUGCGCUUACAUGACGGCCGAGAAGAGCGACCUGGUGACGCACGUGCGCACUCACACGGGCGAGAAGCCCUUCACGUGCAAACACUGCCCGUACAAGUGCGCGAGGAAGAGCCACCUGGCGUCGCACAUGCGCACACACACCGGCGAGAAACAGCACAAGUGCCCCAUAUGCCCGUACGCAUCUGCGUGGAAGAUAAACAUGACCCGCCACGUGCAGUUGUGCCACAAUAGAGUGGUACCACGAGACCAGUUGGGUGAGCGACCAACAAAUGUGCAGAGGUGAAAAAGCUGAGGAAACCAGGCGUCUGUUGAAGUGCCACUUUCUGAAACUGAAAUUAGAAGGCUGCGAGGAUUCUGCUCAUACUUAAGAGUUCAGGUCCACAUAUUCUUACAGGGAGCACAGUUGUGCGUUUUGGUUUUGAUUCACUGCUCAUGCUUAAAAUCACUCCAGCUAGUCACCAGCUUGGAAAAGCAAUCACGCACUGUAGGAAGUAUUCACAAUAACUUGGCAAACAAUCUGGAAACAGCAGCUCUGUCAUCACAUCACACCUUGCCACCUAAUUUAUUGUUACUAAAGUUGAUUUCCCUCAUUCAGUGGCAAGGUUUUCUGUUAAGCACUUUAUUCUUUGCACUCACCAUUUCCCUCAUUGACAUGUGCUGUACUGUCGGCGUCAAAUCAAACGCGAACAGCUGCAAGCAUUAACAAUGGUAUAGUGCGCGCCUUCCACUCAUCACUACUGACAGGCAUGCACAUCAGGAUCGGAAGUCGAUAUUUUCCCUUCUGUUCUUGUUCUGAUUGUAUAAUGGUGGCCGGCGUGGGUGUGCAGAGCGCAUUUGGUCAUUUCAAUUUUAUUUUAUUUUCUUCCUUUGAAGUAUUAGACCUAGAAUUGAAGCAAAAAUAUCACACUGUAGUGGGAUGGCGCAGUGCUGCCAAACCGGAUGUGCAUGCCUAUCAAUGGUGAUAGGAGAGCACGUACAUCGAUUUCUACUGCUUGCCACUGUUCACGCUUCAUUUGACACCGAUAGUACAUCAGUACAUUGUGUGGCAAAUGAUUCUGCAUUCAAUAGCUGCUGUUGAGAAACACUGCAACUACAGUCACCCAAGCACCAGUUGCAGUCAGGUAUGCUUGACUAUUCUGCAUGAUAACGCACCCUUUUUGUUUCUAUGCACACUGGCUUCUGCAGGUAUUGAGUAUGGCUUCCCCUCACAGCCCUGGUUCAAUUGUGCAGCUUUUUUACCUUUGGCAGAAGCAUAACAAAAGCUGUGCCGAUUCUGACAUAGGCUUUGGUGUGAUCACCUUAUGUUCCGGUGUCGGAGAAUUGAGGUUCAGUGGAAUUGAAGGAGCAUGUAAAAUAUAUGUAUUUGCACAGUCACCGAGAAGUGGGGGAGCCGAGGGAACAUUCAUUUGGGUCAUGUGACUGGGACACAGAGAUUUGAAGCAUCGCCCUGUGUUUUUUGUACUGAGACGCAAAAAAAAAUGUUUUCUAUUGCAAGGAAAGCUUAUAAGGUAUUUUUGCUCACAAAAUUUAAAGAUUCUGAUUUUGGCCACUUGUAAUUAUUUUUUCUUUUACCCUGAUGUGUGUUUGUCUGGAGGCAUUCUGGGAAAAGGGUCGUCAUUUUUAUCAAGCCUGCUUCUCUGUAUUUGAUGAGUGAAUCUUUAAAUUUAAUAGUUGAUGUACUAGUAAAUGCACAUUAGCCUUUUUCCCCAAAAGUGCAUUGACUAGAACCAGAAGCAGGUGACUGUGAUCAAAGUCUGCUCAGUGCCACUUGCUGCACCGAUUGACAGAUUGCAAUAAAACUCUUUGGUCCAGUUAAGAAAUGUUGUGCGGGCAUCAGCGCUGGUUGUGAUUACGUGUAACGUGAACACAGCACAAUUUGUUGCAUGAACUCUACUUGCAUUGUAAGUUCCGUAAUACUGUUAAGUUCCCUAAUGCUAAUGUAUUCAGAUGUAGUGCUGCCUGUUCAUAUGUAAUAUCAUUGAAGGUAGUGACAUUGAACUUGCUAGGUUGAUCAAGCAAGUCAGAUUUCUUUAGCGAUUUCAAAUAUGCUUUUUGUUGCUUAAAAGUACUAGCUACGUCACACGAACAGGCUGAUUGUUCACAUUUGAAGCAGAAUUUGCACCCACAAAAGCUUUUGUCCAAGAGUGUUCAUGUGAACAACAGACUCAAAGCUGGAGCAAUUGAACUGAAAUGGCACCCAUAAAUUUUGCCCACAGGAUAGCAUUGCUAAGUUUGAACAGUUUUAGAAUAUUGUACUGUGUGAUGAAUUAUGUUUGAUGAAUAGUACCAGAAAUUAUAAAUGUUUGUUUUUUCAGUUAUGUAAUAGCACUGCGUAACAAAAUACAAGCAGGGGUACAAAUUUGGUGGCAUAAUGCUGGAACAUGGUGUUCUUUACUGGCGUUCCUCACUAGGUGACCUCAGCUUUUCUACCGUGGCAAUAUGUUAAUGAUGCUUGGACUAAGGCAUAAUAAGGUGCUUGAUGCUGUCCAGUGCCAGUGGGGCAUGUUCAGGAGCAUUCUCAUAUAUGAAAUUACAAUUGAGGCCAAGGUUUCUUUGCGCCAGGAGUCUUAGCGAUUGGGCUCAGUUCCUGGAUUUCCUGACGUCAUGCUGAUAUUAUGGUGACAUGAGCACGGGCAAGUACAGUCACUGCUUGGAAAAUUCAGUGCUGUAUUCAUACCCAGCAUUGCAUGCAAAUAAGAUACCCCAUCUCCCCAGAAUAUUGUAAUUCUUGAGAAUGAGGGUAACACGAAUGUGCCAUUUAUGAUAGGCUCUAUUGAGCUUGUUAGCUGAAAUACCAAAGCUGUAGCAAUAUGCAUUACUUAUCGUGUUAAGAUGUUAAUGUUUUAAUGUGAUAUUUCUGAGUACUGUUUGAUGAAAUGUAAAUACAAAUGAGUUCU